rnacentral:tRNA from 1 species
GCUCGGUGUAGGCGGCGGCGUUGGCGCCGUCGAGCUCGCCGAGCUGGGCGGCGAUCCGGUCGGCGACGGCGGCGACGGUGGUGACGUCGUACCAGACG